AAACUAUACUAUAAUUUUUGUAAUCUAUAGUUAUUACAAUUUCUCUUCAAUUAAUGUCCAUAUAUGGACUUUAUCUAUCAUUAUUUUUGGAAUACUACUCAUGAGUAAGGAAUUGGAAGAUGACUCUAUAUUCUAUGAAGUGAUGUUUCUUGUUGCCAUUAAGCUAAUGAUAGAAUUAAUUCUAACAGCUCCUUUACUUGUUACUCCAAAAAGAGAUUCUUUAACCCAUUUUGGUUUCCUGGGAUGAAAAAAAUUUUAAAUGUGAUUUUUCCAUGGCAGAGAAUGUAAAAAUUAUCACUCUCCUAAUACAAGACACAAGGCCAUACCUAAAGUAUUCUAAAAUCUUACCUUUUUUUUCCACCAUACUGAACUUUCAGUCCACUAAAACUCUGUCUUUUUCCCCACAAAUAUACUAUCUAUAAAAUUCUCCAUUUUAUUUUAUUUCAGGAACUAAUUUUUAUUUCAAACAGGAGAUUCUGCCUGGCCCUUUCUGAACUGAGCUUAUUGGAUUUAGCCAAGCCUUCUAAGAUUAUACAUGAAACCACUGGACCAAACUUUACUUGGACAGACACAUUGAAGGGAUCUAUGGAACAUGAGAAUUUUCAAUCAGAUUGGGUAUUAGGACAAUCAGAGACCCCAACUUCUGGGAGCCAGAGGAAGCCUGUACACCACAUAUCUGUUUCAGAUCUCAGCCUCUAAGUAUUCAGGACAACUAAUAUCUACUCCAAAAGGCAAGAGGAAACUGCUGGAGAGUUUUAUGAGAGAGUGUUAUGGUCAGAUCUGUGACUUAUGAAGAAGAUUUUGGCAAUUUCAUUGAAGCUGGAUUGGCAUGGAGAUAAAAUUGGAGAAGGAUGAUUUGUUAAAAGGUCAUCAUCAUAGUUUAUGAGAGAAGAUGAGAACUUGAACUAGAAGACAUCUUUGUGAGUAGAGAGGAGGGGACAGAUAUAAAAGGUCUAGUGAAAAUAAAAUAAUGAAUAUUUGGCA
rnacentral:lncRNA from 1 species